rnacentral:lncRNA from 1 species
UUGACUCUUAUGCAGACUCUGAAGGAGAUUGCUCUCGUGGAACUCGCGUUCUCCAUGGUUGCGCAAGACGCAAUGGUGCAAGGAGAUCUUUAUUUCAUGUUUUGCAGAGGUAAUAGAGGUAAUUGUGUUUCUAGUUGUGGUGGCGAAAUUGGGUUUCACGGUGGCGAUUUAGGUUUUGAAGGUUUGACGAUGCCGCUAAUGGAUUUUAGUCACCACGAUUUUAGGUUUUGUUUUUGUGUUUUCCAGGUUCGCAGUGAACUUUGUGUGUGAAGGAGAUGGUUGCACGAACUAGUUGUGGUGUUAUGUAGGUGGUGGUCGUUCCGCGAUGGCGGUGCGAGGUGGUACAAGAUUGGAUGAAAGUCACGAGGAGAGGCGUGAUGAAGAUCGCGAUUGGAUUUUGAGUUUGUUGUUUUCUAAUUAUAGGUCCAGUGACGGUGGAUGAGAAGAUGAAUUCACCAUUGUUGGCGGCGCGACGACGGAGAGGCUCACAUUUGGGUGGUGGUUUCACAGUGCGGGUGGUGGCGCGUGAUGGAGGAUGGUGGCGAGGAUGGUUAGGCACUAGCGGCGACUAGAGUUUCUAUCUAGAGGGAAAUUAGAGUUUUUGGAGGUAAGAGAUGAUGUUGAUGUGUCAAGGGUGGUGACGUGGCAAAAAUUGAUUGGUCUAUUUGGUGCGGAGAGGAUUAAUGACAUGACAACUUCUCAAUGGUCACAUAUGUGUGUAUUAGAUUGCCACGUGGCAUGAUCUGGUAAAUCUGACUAGUUAGUGGUAGGAGGGGUAGGAAUAGGAAACUUAGUGGGUGUAGCAAAAAGGGUUUACUCUUGGGCCUAUUUUAGAAAAAAAGGGUGCAUGAUUGUAAAAACAGGGAUGCAUUCUUGUAUAUUCCUUUAUAAAAUUCUGAUUUUAGGCCUUAGUUUGCAAUUUGGACCAAUAAAACUUCAAUUUCAGUUGCAUAAAUAAACAUAAGAAUAUCCAAGUAUAAUUUAUGCAACUAAAAAUCACUUUUUAAGUUCCUUUUAUUCCCAAACCCGAUAAAUCCAAUCAUUACAAAUUUACUUUAAAUUAACCAU